GCCUUCAGCACUUUGACAAUAUUAAUGACUUUAUGAUGUCAAAUGGCACUGUUCACUCCUGAGAUUAUGAAAUAUUUUAGACAAUUGUGAAUAGAGCAAACAGUUUAUGUAGAAAUGCCAUUGUUGGCUUAUCUUAAAGGUAGCACUCAGGCUAAUUUCAGAAACACUCUACAGAAGCAAACCAUUGGUAAACAAUACCAGUACCUUGCCUGAGCUGCUGUCUCAUUUCACAGCCUUCCCCUUGGGUUUUAAGAUGUUAUGGUUGGGAAGUGAACUUCAGCCAUAUCAGUUGAGAGAAAUACAUAAAGGAAUUUGAGGCGUGCCUGAAAAAAUAAUUCUAAAAGUCAUGCUCAGAGAACAAACGCACUUUUACUUUCAGUAGUGAAUCUGCUUUGAUUCCAACAGGAUCAUCUAAUGCCCCACAUUGUGCUUUUCACAUGACAGGGUGUUGUAGUCCCUAAUCAGUACCAGUACUGCACUGGAAUUUAGAGUGUUAGUGAUGUCUUUCUGCAAACAUUACAAACACUAUCAACACCUCUUUGAAGUUGUUUUUAAAAUUAUUUGGAAACUCCCCUACAAAAAAGACUUUAUACAGCUAAUAUUUCACACAAUUCAACAUUGUUCUUGAAAGCAUUUGUUAUUGUUUAUUCACAACACUAAUAAACAUUGGCUUGAGGCACUGAAUAGAUUAAACCAUAGACACAGUAGGAAAAAUAUUCUCCCUUCAUAAAACUUUGUAGGAUCAUUUGUUACGGUAUCUACUCUUUUGAUUUCUUAUUUGUGAGCCAGGUUGAUUUCAUGGAGUAGAUGUGUAUGUUGCAGCAACAUUACUUAGUUACAAAAAAAAGAAGACAGAUUAUCUUUUUGUUAAGAAAAUAUUAACAAAAGAGCUAUUGCCAUUGAAAGCUGCUCUCUUUCUCUGCAGUGUGGAGGUGUUGUACGGGCAAGACUUAAAACAACAGGGGACCUAAUUUGCUGAGAUGACACAUCACCUUACAUAUAUAGAACAUCUGUUACCAUGCUUCAUGGCAGAAUCUGCUUGACUGUGCUGGAAGCAUUAUCAGACAAAAUAUAAGUUGCCUUUCCCUGUACCGCUGCUUGGACAGUGAGCCAAUGUUUUAGAGUCUUACCAGCACCAGUCAUUCGUUUUGUCAGAUGCUUUAUUUCCUUAAACAAGGUUUUGGUUAAACUGGAGAUUACAUUUCAUAGAAGUUGGCAGGAAGAGUAAGACUGAGAAUGCACAUCAGAAACACUUUCUAAAGGAAUCCAAAAAUAUAAAGAGAGGUUUUCAUUACAACAAUGUGAUCAAUUUAAGCAGGUCCAAAAAAAUUUUAAAUGUCUCUUGCUUUUGAAAGACCAAGGUGACUAGUUGUACAGCCUUCCAACAAAGUGUAACAUGUGCUGCUUCUCUGCAGUAGACAAAUUAAGAAGACAAGAGGAAGGAAGAAAGCUUCUUCAUGGCAAGCUCUGCAGGCCAGAAUCAAUGUUGUAUUUAUAUGUAUCCACCCCAUGUUAAAACCAUAUCUCUUGACUGGGGUGACUUUUUUUCUGUUUUGAAGCAUUAGAAACACAGUUGUUUAGAAUUUAAUGAUCUGAAAUAGCUUAACCAUGUAGUCUGGAUUUUUUUUGGUCAUUUUUCAAUUUCUGCUUUUUGCUUCUUACCACAGAGCUUCAUUGCUUUGCAUAGAAAUGAGAGUCUAUGGAUAUUUUAAUUUAUUCCAGCAGAAUACAGAAUAAAAUGAGAAUUCUCCUUAAAAAUGCAAUCAAAACCCAGAAGUUUUGAGAAUUGGCCAUGUUUCCCUGAUCAGUGACUGCUUCCAAAGCCGAAGGGAGACUACUUCAAAAAUCUUACCAUUUAAACUGAAAAAAAAACAAUGCAAACAUUGUGUGCAGUCAUCAGUGUGGUAUUUUAACCCUAUUUAACAUUUCUCUUUGUUCUGAUUUGAGUGAAGGAAAGAAAAAAGUCUUUCAUUCUGGGAAGCUGACACAGAACAUGAGCCAACCAAAAGAAAGGGCCGGGAAAGCAGUUACGUGAGGAAAAACCCUCAGUUUUUCCAGUGUCAUCAGUCUUGGAGCACAUCAAACAUUCCCAUGAUGGAGCGAGGAAAUGAUUUUCCUCAGUCUUACAUCAUGUAUUAGCAAAGUACACUACUCAAAAAGUAGAAUGAAUUCCAAGUUUGUUUGAUGUUUUGUUUUCCUGUGAAGAACCUUGCAUUCAUCACUGCUUGAUGCAAAACACCAUCAUUUAGCCGGUCAGUACUGCGUACUUCAGUGAAGGUCAGAUGCCCACGUUACUAAUUCUUGAUUAACAUGGUUCAUACAGUUUUAUCCUUAUCUCCGUUCACCAAACAAGUACUUUUUCUUCAGUAAACUUCCUCUUGAAUCCACUUUUUUUUUCCUCCCCCCAUUACAUACAGGAAAUGAAGUUAGCACUUCAGCGAAAUAGACAUAUGACCAUGGGUCAUACCUGUCCAUGCACAGCACAUCUGCUUUCUGAUUUCUAGGCGUCUCCACUGCUAAAAAUUUCUGUUGAGCCAGGCCUCAUUUUGUGUUCAUCACAAUCAAUAUUAAAACAAGUGUCUGACUGAGCA